rnacentral:rRNA from 1 species
AACGCGAAGAACCUUACCUGGGCUCGAAAUGUACCGGAAUCCGGCAGAAACGUCGGCGUCUAGCAAUAGACCGGUAUAUAGGUGCUGCAUGGCUGUCGUCAGCUCGUGUCGUGAGAUGUUGGGUUAAGUCCCGCAACGAGCGCAACCCUUGCCGUGUGUUGGUCGCAAGAUCUCUCACGCGGGACCGCCGGUGACAAGCCGGAGGAAGGUGGGGAUGACGUCAAGUCAGCAUGGCCCUUACGUCCCGGGCUACACACGUGCUACAAUGGGAGGGACAACGAGUCGCGAACCCGCGAGGGCAAGCUAAAUCUCACAAACCCUCUCUCAGUUCGGAUUGAAGGCUGCAACUCGCCUUCAUGAAGUCGGAAUCGCUAGUAACCGUAGAUCAGCUACGCUGCGGUGAAUACGUUCCCGGGCCUUGUACACACCGAGACGAC